rnacentral:misc_RNA from 1 species
AAAUCUGACCAGGGACACGGGACACGCCGGCCUAAACACGGGGGCGGGGUAGAAUAGUUAUAGAUCAAGAUCAAAGGGAGAUGUUAUACUUAUAGUAUAUACUUAUAGUAGUAAAGAAAUGAACUGUGAACAUAUGUUUCAUUUCCAUAGAAAAAAAAAAACCCAGAGUGAGGAAUGUUACGUCCGCCUUCUUUAAAAGAAAAAGAAAAGGACAAGAAGAAGGAAAACAAUCCGCUGGUUACUCCAGAUCGCCCUGUUCCCCUCCCCCCGCCUCCUCUGGUCAGACCUACCUAUGCAUCUCUGACUCUGCCGCUGUCUCAUGCAUGUCUUGCAUAACCUUAUGCUGUGACUUAUGAAGAAACAGCGUGGUAUGGCAUCCAUGUUUACACUCCUCAAGCCUUCCUUGCUUGUUUCAGCUAAAUUGUUGUGUUAUGCCCUGUAUUGCUCAACAUGCAGAUACAAAACAACCAAGCUGGGUUUCUACUUUUUUGCCGAGUUCUUUUGUCCAUUUGAAUGAAACGCAUGCUGUUUUAAAUGAAAUUUUCGUCUGUCUGCCUGUCUGUGUGAUACUACAGAAUCACGAAAAGGUUUUAGAAUGCGCGCUCACUAGUCAAGGGAAGUCACUCUCAUCACUCGUCCUUUCGCAGACGACCGCAGAUCUCAAGUGACAAAGCGAAGGAUUAACAGCAAUGAAAAGAAGAUAAAAAGUAAAGUAAAAGUUCGUCGGCAAAAAAUGAAGAGGUGAAGAAUAACACUUGUUCUAUGAAAUCGAGAGACAGAAGUGUACUGCUGUGCCAGAGACAACAAACUCGCUCAUAUAUUAUCGCAAAUGGUGCUGUAAGGAUCUCAAAAUAAAAUGCAGCGUUCGAGUCCUCAAACUGAUUGAAGUCACUUCGAGGAACACAGAGCACAGGCCAUCAAAAGAAGCCUGCAUCAUCGAGAACUUGAGAGCUCCAUGCACUUGGAAGGGCCGUCAAGAAAGUCUUUUUCGCGAAGUCUUCUGCAUACAUAUCGCCUUUCGUGGAGGGGGAAAAAAAAAGAGACUUCUCGAUAGUCGAUCCCAACAAGGGUGAAAACUGCACGAGCCAGCUCGUGCCUGCAUCAGAGCUCGGCGACCACUCGACUUCAAAGCUGACCGCGUGGUCCUUCUGUCAACCCGUGGUCUCGCCUUCACAGAGUUCCAGGCUGAAUACUUCAAACCAAAAAUUGGCAGCGAGUUCCAUGGUUUGGGCCUAGCACAAGAGAAGGAUCUCUCCCUAAACCUUCUGAUUCGAGCGUUUGGCAUCUGUAAGAUACUGUGGGAUGUCGAAGAACCCGAUCCCGCUGCGUGCCUUCACAGAAAGAUAAAACCGCCGACUAAAGCAGCAAAGCUAAGUGGAACGACCGCUGCUAACACCACUAAGCAGCGGGCAAGCUUCCGACUAACAACUUUGCCUGCACCUGUGAACAGGUCAACAGUUCUUCUGGACUUCUGUUAGCCAAGUGGUUCUUCCCGUCGGCAACUUUCCUUUCAGGCGGUCCCUGUGAUCUUCAAACCACGCCCACGGUGCACUACACGGUUUCCUAGACGGCGGGAUACCCGGAGAGAGUCUUUCAGCUGGGGACAUAGGUUCAUAGGAGACCCUAACGGUUUGCCUCUCGAAAAGGCCGGAGACGUUAUGUGGCCGAUGGGACGCUGUGAUAGCCCCACGUCUCCAUGAGGCGACAGCUUAUCUUAGUCGUAAACAGGUUCAACAGCAGCUGAUGUUGGGGACGACCACGUGGUCCAAGUUUGACGCGAUAAACUCAGCUCGUGCAGCAGACAACGGUGGCGCCACGAGGGUUUGAAACUUCAAAGACAAGUACCGCCCAUGGUCCCUGGCUUCGGUAAAUCCUCAAAGGUGAGCUUGAGCCUGCCAGGUCAUGCGUCUAGCACCUGAGAUUAGGACUGUCCAUGUGAAGCAAGCCUCGAUUCUUUUUUUUUUUUUUUUUUUCGGUCGGCGGUCGUGUUCUCAGCCACUGCGAGGCGCUGGGACAGAUAGUGAUCAAUGUUGAAACAGAUAUGUCGUUUAUGGUGACUGAUGAUUUUUGGUAAAAUUGAUUAGGCCUAUAGGGGGAAAAAGCUAAUAAAAUCUGUGUGCAUGAAUGCUUCAUUGUUCACGCCAUUUCUGGAGCUUGUCUUAUGAUUAUUAAUAGAUUAUUGGCACUUGAAGCAUCUUGAUAUCUUGGAAACUUUAUAAAUGUUGUUUCAUCACGUUGUCAGAUUAAGACUUAUGACUAAGAAAGAUUAAGAGGAAAAAGAAGAAGAAAAUGAUGAUGACGAUGACGACGACAACGAUGAUGAUGAUGAUUGUGGACGUGCUGGUGGUGUGGCUGUAGUUCAGCUGUACAAUAAUAUUUGCCUGGAACUAAAGCAGUUCCUAUCUCUUUAAGCUCUCUUUGCAUUUCGCUUUCAGUAAGUAGCUUACAUGAAUAUCUGUGGGAGUUUACCUCGAAUCUCACUGGUGCUGUUUACAUGAAAGCACGAAAGCUUGAUGUUAUUAUCGUUAUCCUUUGGACGGCAUCUUCACAGUAUUUACUUGAAAUGGUUUAUCGCCGAAACGUUUACAAAUGUUACAUUUUUUAGCUUUGAACAUUUAUGCAAAUUUGUUGAAAAUGCUUUUACUCUUCUACGCUGUUCUCUGAAGCUUUUACCUCCAUUUCUCAUUUUUAUUCUCAAUAUUUUUCUUUGUUUGUGAGUGUGUCGAUGCAUUAAAAUGUUUGGGAUCGUGCUUGAGUCCAUGUGUGUAGUUGCAUAUUCGUGUGUUAUGCAUGCGAUAAAUGUCAGUAUAUUUUAAACUUGUUCAUGUGUGAAGUAUCUGGAAUAGUGUGGGAGGAGAGUGCUUGUGUGUGUCUUCCUCUUGGUUGUGAUCGCGGUGCAGAGGACAUAUAUGGAACUGAAGAGAAAUAUUCUUUUUUGUAUAUCCCUUGUAUCUCUUCGUUCUUAACGUGUCAUCUUGCCUUCAACAACUAGUCCGCUCGGGUCCAAAACUUGCUUACUUUAAUUAACAUACCUGCCCAAGCUCAUUGGUCAAACAUUGCGGGUUUAUGGCCAAACCGAGGCUUACUGGAAACGCAGAAAACUAGAUUCAGUGGGUUGGCGGUCGUCCUUUGAAACGACAAAUUUCCUGUUGACACUCGGCUCGCGUCGAGUAAACUAUUUGGAGUUAGGUGACUUUAGCCGUCAGUUCGGUUUUUCGGAACGCCAAGAGCCUCAUUACCUUGACAAAACAACGCGUGAGCUGCUAAAGCCACGUCCUCA